rnacentral:lncRNA from 1 species
UGCUGGCACUCAGAGGAAAACAAAAGCAAGUACUCUCAAAGGGAAUACAGUGAAAAGAUAUGUUCCCUUUUCCUGCUUUCCAGCCUUCCAGUUCCUGUCCCUCCUUGCAGGCAUAAACAAAAAGAUCUGGAGUGAACAUAUACAGUUGUGUUAACUAUGAAUUUAUCAAGUGGUUACUGUGCUGAAGAAUGUCCUGAAUGCUUGGGAAAAGAGAGGAAGGACCCUCUGCUUCUAGAGUUUGCAACCUUGGUUUAAACUUGGAGCUCCUCCACAGCAGGAUUAUGAAUGAAUUACAGCCUAGCCCACCGCUGUGUAUCUAAGGCAGACAUAUAUUUUUGUGUAGUG